rnacentral:lncRNA from 1 species
AUGCCUGCUAGCCCGGAGUUCCCCCAGAGCCACGCAUCGCUCAGGCUGAUCCGGCUCUCGGACCUGCAUUCUUCUUACAAGUGUGGGGACAGUGUCACCGAAGGCCAGGCAGACAGGCUCCAAACAGUUCGCCCGAACGUGGUCGGCACUGUGAGAGCCGGGCUGUGGGAUCACGCGUCCCGGGGCUGCGUACCAGCCGCAGGACUCAGCACACUGCUGCCCUCCGCAGCAGCGAGGGCCGGCGCCCUGCGCUCCGGCCAGCGCCCCAGUCUGCUGCAGGGGCUUCCAAACCUGACAAUGCCUAGACCGGUCCUCUCUCAAGUCAUAAUGUUUCAACUGCUGCAAUUACAAACACAAAAAGGAGGAAUUGUUGGAGAGUGGCCUGUAGAGGGUUAAGUUGCUGAACACAGGGAUCUCGGGCUGUAUUGGAAAAGAGCACACAUACAGCGCUCUGAAGUCAAGAUAACCACACGAGAGGCAACCGAGGAAUAAACCCAAGCAAUAAGGAUGCCAACCUUGGAGCGCAACAGUUCUCUUAAUUGGCAGAAUGUACUGCUUGGAGAAGUCUUUAAACUGAUUUCCCAAGGCCCUGCUCUGUUUCCACAUUUGCCUCAGUAUCCCCUUCUUUUGUUUGAGAACCGAAUAAAUUUGGACUGUCUGGUGGAACUCUUUGUUUUUAACUCCUGAAGAGAGAGAGAGAGAGAGACAGAGAGAGAGAGAAAGAGAGAGAGAGAAAGAGAGACAGAGAGACAGAGAGAUAGAGAGAGAGACCGAGAGACAGAG